rnacentral:rRNA from 1 species
CUACGCACUCCUACGGGAGGCAGCAGUGGGGAAUAUUGCACAAUGGGCGCAAGCCUGAUGCAGCCAUGCCGCGUGUAUGAAGAAGGCCUUCGGGUUGUAAAGUACUUUCAGCAGUGAGGAAGGUGGAUAUGUUAAUAGCAUAUUCAUUUGACGUUAGCUGCAGAAGAAGCACCGGCUAACUCCGUGCCAGCAGCCGCGGUAAUACGGAGGGUGCGAGCGUUAAUCGGAAUUACUGGGCGUAAAGCGCAUGCAGGUGGUUUGUUAAGUCAGAUGUGAAAGCCCGGGGCUCAACCUCGGAAUUGCAUUUGAAACUGGCAAACUAGAGUACUGUAGAGGGGGGUAGAAUUUCAGGUGUAGCGGUGAAAUGCGUAGAGAUCUGAAGGAAUACCGGUGGCGAAGGCGGCCCCCCUGGACAGAUACUGACACUCAGAUGCGAAAGCGUGGGGAGCAAACAGGAUUAGAUACCCUGGUAG